UACGGGGGGGGCAAGCGUUGUUCGGAAUUACUGGGCGUAAAGGGCUCGUAGGCGGCCAACUAAGUCAGACGUGAAAUCCCUCGGCUUAACCGGGGAACUGCGUCUGAUACUGGAUGGCUUGAGUUUGGGAGAGGGAUGCGGAAUUCCAGGUGUAGCGGUGAAAUGCGUAGAUAUCUGGAGGAACACCGGUGGCGAAGGCGGGUCUCUGGGCAGUAACUGACGCUGAGGAGCGAAAGCGUGGGGAGCGAACAGG
rnacentral:rRNA from 1 species